AUGGUGAAGAAGGGGAAGUGGUCCAGGGAAGAGGAUGACUUGUUGAAAAAACACAUUGACAAGUAUGGCAUUGGCCGUAGUUGGCAGGCAUUGGCUGAAACCCUAGGGCUUCAGCGUUGCGGUCGGGGUUGCCGAGCGCGGUGGCUGAACUACCUCCGGCCGGGACUGAAGCACGGCAACUUCACGCCGGCAGAGGAGAGCAUCAUCUGUGAGAUGUACAGCAAGAGGGGAAGCUGCUGGUCCGUCAUCGCCGCCCAGCUCCCCGGGAGGACGGACCUCGCCGUCAAGAACUACUGGAACGGCACCAUCUCCAAGAGGUUCCACUGGGCGAGCAGCGCGGCGGCCGCGCGCCGCAGGCGCAGCGACCACCGCCCCUCCUCCAGCACGACGUCGGACGCCACCAAGCCGGAGGAGCUCGCGCUGGUCGUCCACGGCGAGGGGAGCUCCACGACAGGAUCGUCAUGCUAUGCCGGCGGCUUCGUGGACGCCCGCGUCCUGGCCGGCUCACUGCCGCUCGUGCAAGCGCAGCCACCGCUGGCGGCCGGCGGCUGGAAAGCGGCGAAAGAAGAGGUCGGUGAGACGGUGCCGAUUGAGAGGAAGCCGGCCGUGGCGCCUGCGCCUCUGCCAGAGAAUGCACCGGCGCUGCCUGGUGAUGAGGCCGGUGCGGUGGACAUGGUCUGCGCCCCCAUGACUGCGAUCCCCCUGGCGUCCAUGGAGCCGGACGACAUGCCUUGGAUUGACGGUUUCGACGAGAUCGACAGCUUCCUGCCCUGGUUCGAUGACUAG
rnacentral:rRNA from 1 species